AACGAACGCUGGCGGCAGGCCUAACACAUGCAAGUCGAACGCCCUAGCAAUAGGGAGUGGCGCACGGGUGCGUAACGCGUGGGAAUAUGCCCUUGACUACGGAACAACACAGGGAAACUUGUGCUAAUACCGUAUAAUGUCUCCGGACCAAAGAUUUAUCGGUCAAGGAUUAGCCCGCGUUAGAUUAGCUAGUUGGUGAGGUAAUGGCUCACCAAGGCUACGAUCUAUAGCUGGUCUGAGAGGAUGAUCAGCCACACUGGGACUGAGACACGGCCCAGACUCCUACGGGAGGCAGCAGUGAGGAAUAUUGGACAAUGGGGGGCAACCCUGAUCCAGCCAUGCCGCGUGAGUGAUGAAGGCCUUCGGGUUGUAAAACUCUUUUAGAUGUGACGAUGAUGACGGUAACAUCAGAAAAAGCUCCGGCUAACUUCGUGCCAGCAGCCGCGGUAAU
rnacentral:rRNA from 1 species